CCUACGGGUGGCUGCAGUGGGGAAUAUUGGGCAAUGGAGGGAACUCUGACCCAGCAAUACCGCGUGAAGGAAGACGGCCUUCGGGUUGUAAACUUCUUUAGACAGGGAAGAUAAUGACAUUACCUGUAGAAUAAGCCACGGCUAACUACGUGCCAGCAGCCGCGGUAAUACGUAGGUGGCAAGCGUUAUCCGGAAUUACUGGGUGUAAAGGGCGCGUAGGCGGGUAGAUAAGUUAGAUGUGAAAACCUGGGGCUCAACUCCAGACUUGCAUCUAAAACUGUUUAUCUUGAGUGUCAGAGGGGAAAGUGGAAUUCCUAGUGGAGCGGUAAAAUGCGUAGAUAUUAGGAGGAACAUCGGCGGCGAAGGCGACUUUCUGGCUGACAACUGACGCUGAGGCGCGAAAGCGUGGGUAGCGAACAGGAUUAGAUACCCUAGUAGUC
rnacentral:rRNA from 2 species